ACGGAGCCGGGCACCAACCAGGAAGGGCCUCCGAGCACCGGGCACCAGCGUCCCCAUCCCUGAGGCCCGGCCUGCGCUGGAAGAUGGCGCCAAAGGGGUGCAGCUGGCUUGUCCUCAGUGCCGCGCUCCUGAGUGCCGGCGCUGAGCUGUCCAUCACUCCUGAGCCCGCCCGGCUGGCCGCAGGGGACAGUGUCACUCUGAGGGUCCGUGGGCUCUCGGGGGAAGAGCUGGCCUACAGCUGGUACGCAGGCCCCGCGCUCAGCCUGUCCUACCUGGUGGCCAGCUACAUCGUGAGCACAGGCGACGAGAUCCCCGGUCCAGCCCACACGGGGCGGGAGGCCGUGCGCCCCGACGGCAGCCUGGACAUCCAGGGCCUCCUGCCCAGCCACUCGGGCACCUACAUCCUGCAGACCCUCAACAGACAGCUGCAGACCGAGGUGGGCUACGGACACAUGCAGGUCUAUGAGAUCCUGGCCCAGCCCGCGGUCCUGGCCAACGCCACGGAGCUGGUGGAGCGGCGCGACCCCCUGCGCCUGCUGUGCACCAGCCCCAGCCCCGCCGAGGUCCGCUGGUUCUUCAACGGCGACGCUCUGCCGGUCGCCGUCCGCCUCGGCCUGUCCCCAGACGGCCGCAUGCUCACCCGGCACGGCGUCCGCAGGGAGGAGGCCGGCGCCUAUCAGUGCGAGGUGCGGAAUCCACUCAGUGUGAGCCGCAGCGAGCCCCUCAACCUGACCGUGUACUUCGGCCCGGAGCGCGUGGCCAUCGUCCAGGACUCCACCACCCUCACCGGCUGCACCAUCAAAGUUGACUUCAACACGUCCCUCACCCUGUGGUGCGUGUCCCGCUCGUGCCCGGAGCCCGAGUACGUGUGGGCCUUCAAUGGGCGAGCCCUGGACAACGGCCGGGACCAUCUCAGCAUCAGCGGCAUGGCGGCCGCCCAGGAGGGCGCAUACACGUGCAUUGCUAAGAACCCCAAGACCCUGCUGUCUGGCUCUGCCUCGGUGGUGGUCAAGCUCUCCGCGGCAGCCGUCUCCAUGAUGAUUGUGCCGGUGCCGACCAAGCCCACAGAGGGCCAGGACGUGACCCUGACGGUCCAGGGCUACCCCAAGGACCUGCUGGUCUACGCCUGGUACCGUGGGCCGGCCUCCGAGCCCAACCGGCUGCUGAGCCAGCUGCCGUCCGGGAACUGGAUCGCGGGCCCGGCGCACACGGGCCGGGAGGUGGGCUUCUCCAACUGCUCGCUGCUGGUGCAGAAGCUGAACCUCACGGAUGCCGGCCGCUACGUGCUCAAGACCGUCACGCUGCAGGGCAAGACCGACACGCUGGAGCUCGAGCUGCAGGUGGCCCCUCCCUCCCUCGCAUGACGACCAGCGCUAUCCUCCUGACCCUGAACCCAGCACAGGCUGAGCACCGGGGCGGCCCUGGAGUAGCAGCGAGACCACUGCUGAGGCCUCCGGAGAGAAGAGCAGUUCCUGUCACUCCCCCCUCGGCCUCCAGCAGGACUCGGCUGAAGCCCGGCCCCUGUCUCCACCUAGAGUUAGAGCCCUGGAGCCCUGCUCCCUCCUGUCACAGAGACGCGGGCAUAAACGUCCUGGUCAGCGCACCUGUGUGGCCUCUCCUUCUGCACCGCCCGCCCACCGUCCUGGCGCAUGCGCGCCUGGUCUCCGUGCCCGCCCACGCUCGGGGCGUCCUGGGGCACCCCAGGUUCUACGCAAGGGUCCUGAUCCCCAGGGCACCAAGCAGCCCUGAGGCACAGCCGCUUACGCUCAGGCAGCGGCCCGUUUUCAAGUAAAGCCCGGCGACCUCAGGGUCCACCCACGUGAGUUGAGGGUGCAAGGAACAGGGUGAGGAGAGCUGGGGAGCAGGGGACACAGGCCUCUCCUCCUCUCUCCAGAGGGGCUGAGUCCGGAGGCAGAGGUCCUGGGGUCCUGGUGUCAGAAGCGGAGGGCAGAGUCCGGGCAGGGUUAGGAAGGGCCUUGGGCAGGGAUGGAGAUGCCCUUCUGGGGGUGGCCCUUGGAGCUGGAGCUGGGAUACCGGGUGGUGAAACCUCCAGAAUGAGAGAAUAAAAUUGGGAUUGUGGGCAGGUGUGGCAGCACACACCUGUAAUCCUUCACUCCAGAGGUUGAGGCGGGAGGACUGCAAGUUUGAGUCCAGCC